rnacentral:rRNA from 1 species
UACGUAGGCAGCAAGCGUUGUUCGGAAUUACUGGGCGUAAAGCGAGUGUAGGCGGUCUGCCAAGUCUGUUGUGACAUCUCCUGGCUCAACUGGGAGGGUGCGACGGAAACUGGCAGGCUUGAGUGCGGGAGAGGAGAGUGGAAUUCCUGGUGUAGCGGUGAAAUGCGUAGAUAUCAGGAGGAACACCGGUGGUGAAGACGGCUCUCUGGACCGCAACUGACGCUGAGACGCGAAAGCGUGGGGAGCAAAAAGG